GUAAGUCUGGUUCCUUGAAGCAGUACCGUUGUUGCCACUUGAUAUUGAGGAUGAGAUUACUGUGCUACUUACAGGCCUUGGCUGCCCAUCUGAAAAUAUUGGGGUAUCUAGCCAUAGGUUAGGUGAGCGUGCUCCAUCAAAACCAUAUCUGGGAUCUUGAUAACCACCAGAUGUAGGAGUGCGACCUGGCAAAUCAAAUCACCUCUUAUAAAUCAUUCAACAGAAAAUCGAAUAUGAAUUUCGAUAGGGCUGUUCAACAGGUGCAUCAAAAUUCUUACCUUUAGCAUUCACACCAUUUGUGCCAGCAUUGGUAUUUCCAUUAGCUGCUUCCACAGAAAGAGGCUUUUGAUCAGCAGCUACAGAUGUGGAAUUAUCACCCUGAGGAUGGGCAGCAGAAGUUGGCGUGAAUGGCCCACUGGUUGGUGUCAACGGCUGAAAAAAGGGAGGAUACUGAUAGUGUUGAGGGCCAUACAACUGACCAUCAUUUCCCAUGGUUGGAACUGGAGAACCAGCUGGAGAGUAGGGAGCAUAGGGUGCAUAUCCAUAUCCAUGGUGAUACACCAGAGACGACCCAUUAUCCCCAUAGACUCC
rnacentral:lncRNA from 1 species